UGGGGAAUUUUGGACAAUGGGCGAAAGCCUGAUCCAGCAAUGCCGCGUGUGUGAAGAAGGCCUUCGGGUUGUAAAGCACUUUUGUCCGGAAAGAAAUCCUCUGGGUUAAUACCUCGGGGGGAUGACGGUACCGGAAGAAUAAGCACCGGCUAACUACGUGCCAGCAGCCGCGGUAAUACGUAGGGUGCAAGCGUUAAUCGGAAUUACUGGGCGUAAAGCGUGCGCAGGCGGUUUUGUAAGACGGAUGUGAAAUCCCCGGGCUUAACCUGGGAACUGCAUUCGUGACUGCAAGGCUAGAGUAUGGCAGAGGGGGGUUAGAAUUCCACGUGUAGCAGUGAAAUGCGUAGAGAUGUGGAGGAAUACCGAUGGCGAAGGCAGCCCCCUGGGCCAAUACUGACGCUCAUGCACGAAAGCGUGGGGAGCAAACAGGAUUAGAUACCCUGGUAGUCCACGCCCUAAACGAUGUCAACUAGUUGUUGGGGAUUCAUUUCCUUAGUAACGUAGCUAACGCGUGAAGUUGACCGCCUGGGGGAGUACGGUCGCAAGAUUAAAACUUAAAUGAAUUGACGGGGUCAUAGCUGUUUCCU
rnacentral:rRNA from 1 species